GAGACACAGACGCGCCGAAUCUGAUCGGGAGGGAGAUUGGAUGAUGAUACACACCUGGACAGGUACCAUACUUGCACCUAUGGGAUUCGGAGAACGACGGCAACACCCACGGAUCCACCAAUGAACUUAGGGAUUAGCCCUAUAGAUAGAGAUUAUUAGGAGGGGGUAUUAGAUCACUUUUGUUAUAUCUGUUUUUAUUGUUGGAAUAUUGUUAUUUGGUCCCUGAGGAAGUUCCCUUGGUGGAACGAAACGCGUAGGACCUGUCUUCCUCAUUUAUAUAUCUGAUGCUGCUGGUUAUUGUCCACCUUUUUAUAAUAAAUUCCUGAUACUUUUUCCAUUGUAGUGGUAAUGAG